rnacentral:rRNA from 1 species
UACAGAGGGGGCAAGCGUUAUUCGGAAUUAUUGGGCGUAAAGGGCGCGUAGGCGGCCAGGCAAGUGGAAGGUGAAAUCCCUCGGCUUAACCGAGGAACUGCCCUCCAAACUGCUUGGCUUGAGACCGGGAGAGGUGAGUGGAAUUCCCAGUGUAGCGGUGAAAUGCGUAGAUAUCACUUGGAACGCCAAAGGUGAAAACAAUCUGCUGGGGAUCUGCUGACGCUGAGACACGAAAGCCAGGGGAGCGAACGGG